rnacentral:misc_RNA from 1 species
AAAAGAUUGCGUAAGGAACAUUCUUGGCAAAAUUAAUUAUGGAUUAAGAAAAGAGCUUAGAGAUCAGAGAUGUACCUUAAAAUGAAUAAAUAAUAUUUAUGUCCACAACAAUAAUGGUUGGUGGAAGAAAAAUAAUGGGUGCAAUAUUUCAACUUAGGCAUCAUUUCAUAUUAAAUUUCAGGGAAAAAAAUAAAAAAAAAUUUUAUCUUAAAUAUUAUUGAAUAAAAUCAUUAAUUUUAAUUUUUUAAAAUUAAAAUAUAUUAAAUUUAAUU